CUCUCUCUUCUCUCUCCUCUCUCCUCAACAUCAUCUCUUCAUUUUCUCAGAUCUCACCAUCUUUCAUUCUCUCUCUAGAACUUUCUCUGUUUCUUUCUCUAGAAGAAGAAGAAGUUAGCUUGAGCAGCAAAAAUGGCAGGAGGUGGAUCAACAAGCAGCAACCCGCCCAAGCAGAGGAAGAGAGUUGAAGCUGAGUCUCCAGAUGCCGAGUCUUCGCCUUCUGCUACUCUUUCUCUUAAGCGUGCCAAGGAUGGCAGUGCUUUCUCUUGCUGUGAGGAAUGCAACAGCAGUGUGUCAGUAGCUCUUAUUGAUAUGCACAACUGCAGCAUUGAGGCGAAAAUCAAGAUGAGCCUUGCUGCAACUGUUGUUGAAAAGUCGGCUGAGUUAAGAAGAAGCCAGCUGAGAGGUUUGAUUUUGUCUUUGAACCAAACCAGAAAAGAGAGCAGAAGCAGCAGUAGACAGACAGCAGACAAAGCAGCCAACAACAUAAGCAGAACAACAACCAGCAAACGAACAACAACACCAACAGAAGCUUACAACAGCAGGAACCAACAGCGGCCUGUACACCAUAGAAACACCCUGACCAGCAUCCAGCAGCAAACACCCAGCAGAAGAGGCAGAAAGCAGAACACAACAAGCUGAACACUAGUACCAACACGACGAAGGACUUUUCAGUCACAGGAUAUCUCUUCCAGAGCUGUUUGAUAGAGUUUUCAUUGAUGCGGUAUUGAGUGAGUGGCAGAAGACAUUGCUUGAGUUACCUACAGGAAUACGUCAAGCAUGUGAACCGGAUGCAAUAAGUUUAGCUCAAUUGGUGAAAUACCUAUUGAAUGAGGCGAGGCCAUCCAUCACUAGAGCACUACAACGAGGGCUUCGUAAGGACAUGUCAAGGGAAUUCCUUGGGAGGAUAAUGGCAGACCCUUCGUUUUUGCAUAAGCUUCUGUUUGAGCAGUUUGUCACUAUUGCUUGUUCUGUUGGUCAGAACUGAAAAACCGGAAGGGCAGAAUGAAGGAGGAAUGGGAUUUAGCACUUAUAAAUGUACUCGCAGUAGCAUCGUGCAAUUUAGUAAUUGUUUGGUCACUCGCUCCUUGCUGCUCAUAUGUCAAUACCUUCUGCUCUGAUCUACAGAAUAGACUGCAGAAGCUCCCAAACAACAUAUUUGAAGCAAGUUAUCAUUAUAGAGAAUUUGAUCUGCAGAAAAGUGUUCUGUCUUUAUGCAAGGCUGUACAAUUUAGCUUAGUGGGAUUUACAGCAGGGGCACUUUAAAGCACCUUGUUACAUCUCCGUACCCAAGGAAAAGAUCGAGAGAAAGUUAAUUUUUGCACUUCAUCUUUGUCUUUUAUUUGUUUCAUACAGAAUUUCUUAUACAUGACUCAUACAAAAGUAGGCUGUCUGUGCCAAUACCACCUGCAAAUACAAAUGCACUCGGAUAUGGAGCUUUACUCGGCCUCUACACAAAUUGGAGGUAUCAAAUGAUAUGCGGGAUGGAUAAACUUCUAUACAACCAUUUCAAUGUGAUUGGAGUUUCCCUCUUUUUUAGUACAGCUUUCAGCCAUUGUUGUUCUUCAGAGAAGCCAUGAACAGGCCUUAAGAACCCAAGAGCCUGAGAAUAGCAAGCACAGCAAAACAACAAAAAGGACCAACAAUAGCAGCAGCCACCAGCAGAACCAGCAAGGUUAUAGCAACAAUAGCACCUUGUAUUUUAUUUUAUUUUUUUGGACGAAAAUUGUAAUAU